rnacentral:rRNA from 1 species
UACGUAGGGGGCAAGCGUUGUCCGGAAUUAUUGGGCGUAAAGAGCGCGUAGGCGGUCCGAUAAGUCGGCUGUGAAAGUCCAGGGCUCAACCCUGGAAAGCCGGCCGAUACUGUCGGACUAGAGUCCGGAAGAGGCAAGUGGAAUUCCCGGUGUAGCGGUGAAAUGCGCAGAUAUCAGGAGGAACACCGGUGGCGAAGGCGGGUCUCUGGGCCGAAACUGACGCUGAGGAGCGAAAGCGUGGGGAGCGAACAGG